UUUAAAUAUAUAAUUCAUUUUAUAAGAUAUAAAGAAUCUACGCUCAACUUUACACUAAAAAAUUAAUAAUUUAACUCUCGUAAUUUGAAUCUUGCCACGUGCAGAAGACAAUAAUUAUUUUACUUAUACAAUCAUUAUGCCAUGUAUUUUAAUCUUAUUUAAGAAAAGAUUUUUAAAAAAAAUAGGAAAAACUUUAUGUAUUUCCAUACUUAAUUAUCAACUUAAUCCCACUAUACCAUGAACAUAUGGUAUGUGGAAUAAUAUAUACUAGCAACAUCAAAGGGAAAUAAUAAUAAUAAUUAUAGACGUACAUUUAAUCCCUUACACAUUGGUUGGUACCAUAGUUGUAGUUUGGCUUCUCCCCCACCCACAAUUGCACAGCUGCCCUCCCCGUGAAAUCACCAGUUCCCUUGGCAAGGUUCUCCCCUGCACCGGAAUGAAUCAAGUUACAAUCACCAGUUCUUGAAUUAAAGUAAACUAGUAUAUAUACUCGCGGAUAAUAUUAAAAUAUUAUUUUUAAGUGUAUUAGAAUGUGUGACUUGCAAGUUUGAGUCAGUCAAAAUUACAGUGUUUUUUUGUGUGAUUAAUUAACUUAGUUAGAAAAUCAAAUAUAAUUAUUUCACUCGUACUUCAACUUAUAAUAACUAAACGAAGUCAAUCGGAACUCAUCAUAGCUUUCUGAGGGAUCGACUCAAGACUCAUAAUCAAGAUUAUAUUGAUUAUGCUCACUUAGUUUUUGAAUAUGUAAAUUUCAUAAUUUAAAAAAGGAAAUAAAGAAUCUAUGUCGUGUUAGUGUUUUGCCCUAAUUAAAAAAAAAUAAAGGUCCUUUAAAUUUUUCAAAAGUGAACACCUUUGGUUUUGAGAAGAUAUUUAUCAAACUUUGAUUGUUAAAUUUAAUCGAAUUUGUAUAAAAUGUUAAAUUUUAAACACUGUGGAAUUUUAUUUCACAUGUGAAGAAAAUUCAAAGGAGAUUAAUGUUGCAUUGCAUGUCGUGUUAUUCAGGAAAUACUCUAUGCUUUAAAGAAUAGUCAUACUUUAAUCUAGGACAUUUCUUCACCCCAUAUUAUUCAGAUAAGAUUAAACAAGACUUAGUAAGUGUUUUUGGGUGGAAUAUUCACAAUAGGUAAAAUAUGCGCUCUCAAUAAUUACAUGCAAGUCUACGGAGCAUAGAAAGACAAGAUGCUUAUAUCGUACUUGCUAAAUGAAUCUAAUUCUAAUACAAUUUUAUAUCUCAAUUAAAUUGGACUCGCACAUGUUCUACAGUCUCGUGAAUCAUGUUGAAGCAACUAAAGCAAGGACUUUAGGCUCCAAAAUUUUAGGGUUCCGAUUUUUAUUUUUUAUUUUCUCAUACAAUGUCUAGAAUCUAUGUUGAAGUCACGAUUAAUUCAAUUUCGUGUCACAUAAGGUUCUUUAAAGGAAGAAGCUCUCUAGCAAUAUUUGUUUUCCUUUUGAGAUUUGGACUCAAUAUCUCUGAUCAAGAGAGGAAGCGAUUCAGUUUUAUUUAGCUAUAAAAUAUUUUAUGAAAAUUUGAUUUUAAACCAUCGAUCUUAUUGAGCCACCCUGCGUGAAUGUAUUGGAAGAAAAUUAUUCUAUGAGAGAGAGAAGACUAAGUAUUUAUUAGUCAUUGAAAGCAAUUUGGAUAUAAUGAAAACAAAAAAAUAAAGAAAGUGAUGGACACUUAAACCAGAACAAAUUUUUGGUCCUUUGUGUGGAAAUUAACUGCUUCACAUCCUUGCAGCUUCGAAUGAGAUUUUUUUUAAAAAAAUUUGAAAGUGUUGAAGCUGAAUUUAUGAAUAAAUAGUUAUAUGUUUAGAUAAGUUUUAAAUGGAGCAUAAAUAGUUUGAUUUGCUUAAUUAUAUAUGCACACAUUAAGUAAUUUCUAUCGUAUAUAUUUUGUAUAUUUCUUUUAUAUAUAAAAUAUAAUUUUUUGGUGAAAAGUGUUCAACGAUAGUCGCUAUAGUGUGUGGAAUUCAUGUUCCAUCACAUAAUUGGAGAGUUUUUUCUUGACUUUCUUUUUAUUAUUACUAUUAUUUAUGGAUUUUUAUAUAGUUUAAUUCACUGAUUUUGAUUCGGAGAAUGACAAUAUACUAGAGUUUUAAUUUACCCUUUGUUUGGUUAUAAUAUAUUAUAUUUAUUUGACUGCGUUUGCAUUAUAGUAUAAAUUGUUUGGAAUUACUUGUUUGUUUUGGGAAAGACUUGCAAGUUUGAGUCGGUCAAAAUUACACUGUGAUUAAUCAACUUAAUUAGAAAAUCAAAUAUAAUUUUAUACUUCACUCGUAUUCCACUUAAACUAACUAAAUUAAGUUAAACGGAACUCACCAUAGCUUUUCUGUGGUAUUGAGUUGUAUAUAAAUAUACUCUGAUGGUAUCAAAGAUAACUGAACAGUGUCUUCAUUGAAAGACUGCUUCUUCCUCCUUGAUAUUAUCAAAGUAUAAUAUACUUUGGUGGUAUUAAUGAGUAACCGAAUAGUGUUUUCAUUAAGGUUUGUUUCAGUCCUUCGAUGAGAAUACUCAAUCAUCCAUGAUACCAUUACGGUAUAUCUACAUACUGUCGUGGUAUCAUUUAGGUAUGCUUGAAUUCUUCAAUAUUUUAAUUUUAAAAAAUAUAAAAAUAUAUUUCCUACUAAUUUAGAGUUUAAUAAAUAAGAUUGUGAAUUUAAUAAUUUCUCUUAAUUAUUUCUUAAAAAAAGAGUUAAAUCCUAUAUCUCAUACUGAUAUCAUACGCGAUAUAAAAAAGGAGAAAGUGGGGUAAGCAUGUAAAUAUUUUGAGGCAUGGGUCCAUUUAGGGUAAAUAGUUUGGAUAAAGUCCAAUUUAGAUAAAUAGUUUCAUAAUUGGGUCUAUCUUACAUAGUUUUUUCUAUUAAUUACGCUACUUAAUUUUUAAAUAUAUAAAUUUCAUAAUUUUAAAUAAGUAAAGAACCUAUGCCCAACUUCACACUCGUACUUGGAAUUUUUCAAUAUUAAUUUGCUCAUACAAUUAUUCUACUAAUUUAUAUAGAACCAAUCCUUUUCUGAGAUUAAGUAGCACAAAUAUCGUAUUUUAAUCUUAGUUAAUGAAAGACAAAUUUUAAAAAGGUCAAAUAGGAAUAACAACUUUAUGUAUUCAUGUUUAGUGGAAACGAGAAGAUGCAAUACUUAGUUAUCAACGUAAGCCACUAUACCAUGAACAUAUGGUACGUGGAAUUAUUCAUACUAGCAACAUCAAAGGGUAAUAAUAAUAAUAAUUAUAGAGGUACAUUUAAUCCCUUACACAUCAUAAGUAAACACAUUUUAGUAAGGACGUUGUCCGACCCAGUUUCCAACAGGAUCAUAGUUGCAUGAAAUGAACCACCAUCCGUUGUUGCAACGAGCCCGACCACAACCUAGUCGAACUGAGUUGCGCCAGACUACUUGAGUAUAGUGUCCGCACACUUGUCCGCUUGCACAUUGGUUGGUACCAUAGUUGUAGUUUGGCUUCUCCCCCACCCACAAUUGCACAGCUGCCCUCCCCGUGAAAUCACCAGUUCCCUUGGCAAGGUUCUCCCCUGCACCGGAAUGAAUCAAGUUACAAUCACCAGUUCUUGAAUUGGCAUAAUUUUGUGCUCGGGAUGCCAAACCGGCAUCCCAAGACAUUGGCCCGACCCCGACUUGGGCACGGGCAUCGUUGUGAACCGCAAGAUAGUCUUGGGGUGAAUUUUGGGCAUCACAAGAGUGAAAUAUGGCUAAUACCAUGAGACAAGUGAGUAACAAUGAGAUGUUAAACAACCCCAUUUUGCUUUAGGUCUAGUGGAAAGAAAAUAAAUCUAAGUUAUUGUGAUUAUAAAUGUGAGAUAAGUAGUGUAUUUAUAAGUAAAAUUAAUUGUGGAAUUUUGUUUAGCAUGUGUGAAGAAAAUUCAAAGGAAAUUAGUAGAGGAAAUGAUAAAAAUGGUCUCUUAUCUUUGAUAGUAAGUUCAAAAUAGUCUCGUGUGUAUUUAGUUGAGCCAUUUUGGUCCUUCAAUUGUUUAGAAGUAAUUACUUUCGGUCCUGAUGGUAUCAAAGAUAAGUGAACAGUGUCUUCAUUGAAGGACUGCUUCUUCCUCCUUGAUAUUAUCAAAGGAUAAUAUACUUUGGUGGUAUUAAUGAGUAACUGAAUAGUGUUUUCAUUAAGAUUUGUUUCAGUCCUUCGAUGAGAAUACUCAAUCAUCCAUGAUAUCAUUACGGUAUUUCUACAUACUGUCGUGAUAUCAUUGAGGUAUGUUUGAAUUCUUCAAUAUUUUAAUUUUAAAAAAUAUAUUUCCUACUAAUUUAGAGUUUAAUAAAUAAGAUUGUGAAUUUAAUAAUUUUCUCAUAACUAUUUCUUAAAAAAAGAGUUAAAUCCUAUAUCUCAUACUAUAUCAUGUGCAAUAUAAAAAAGGAGAAAGUGGGGUAAGCAGGUAAAUAUUUUGAGGUAUAGGUCCAUUUAGGGUAAAUAGUUUGGAUAGAGUCCAAUUUAGAUAAAUAGUUUCAUAAUUGGGUCUAUCUUACAUAGUUUUUUCUAUUAAUUACGCUACUUAAUUUUUAAAUAUAUAAAUUUCAUAAUUUUAAAUAAGUAAAGAACCUAUGCCCAACUUCACACUAAGAAUUUAGUACUUUGACCCUCGUACUUGGAAUUUUUCAAUAUUAAUUUGCUCAUACAAUUAUUCAACUAAUUUAUAUAGAACCAAUCCUUUUCUGAGUUUAAGUAGCACAAAUAUCGUAUUUUAAUCUUAGUUAAUGAAAGACAAAUUUUAAAAAGGUCAAAUAGGAAUAACAACUUUAUGUAUUCAUGUUUAGUGGAAACAAGAAGAUGCAAUACUUAGUUAUCAACGUAAGCCACUAUACCAUGAACAUAUGGUACGUGGAAUUAUUCAUACUAGCAACAUCAAAGGGUAAUAAUAAUAAUAAUUAUAGAGGUACAUUUAAUCCCUUACACAUCAUAAGUAAACACAUUUUAGUAAGGACGUUGUCCGACCCAGUUUCCAACAGGAUCAUAGUUGCAUGAAAUGAACCACCAUCCGUUGUUGCAACGAGCCCGACCACAACCUAGUCGAACUGAGUUGCGCCAGACUACUUGAGUAUAGUGUCCGCACACUUGUCCGCUUGCACAUUGGUUGGUACCAUAGUUGUAGUUUGGCUUCUCCCCCACCCACAAUUGCACAGCUGCCCUCCCCGUGAAAUCACCAGUUCCCUUGGCAAGGUUCUCCCCUGCACCGGAAUGAAUCAAGUUACAAUCACCAGUUCUUGAAUUGGCAUAAUUUUGUGCUCGGGAUGCCAAACCGGCAUCCCAAGACAUUGGCCCGACCCCGACUUGGGCACGGGCAUCGUUGUGAACCGCAAGAUAGUCUUGGGGUGAAUUUUGGGCAUCACAAGAGUGAAAUAUGGCUAAUACCAUGAGACAAGUGAGUAACAAUGAGAUGUUAAACAACCCCAUUUUGCUUUAGGUCUAGUGGAAAGAAAAUAAAUCUAAGUUAUUGUGAUUAUAAAUGUGAGAUAAGUAGUGUAUUUAUAAGUAAAAUUAAUUGUGGAUUUUGGUUUAGCAUGUGUGAAGAAAAUUCAAAGGAAAUUAGUAGAGGAAAUGAUAAAAAUGGUCUCUUAUCUUUGAUAGUAAGUUCAAAAUAGUCUCGUGUGUAUUUAGUUGAGCCAUUUUGGUCCUUCAAUUGUUUAGAAGUAAUUACUUUCGGUCCUUUAAGUUUUUCAAAAAUGAGCAUUUUUUUUUAUCUUGAUUAGAUUUUUAUCAAACUUUGAUUGUUAAAUUUAAACAUUGUGGAAUUUUAUUUUUCAUAUUAAGAAAAUUCAAAUGUGAUUAGUACCUUGCAUGUCGUGUGAUUCAUAGAAUACUAUAUUCUUUAAAGAAUAGUCAUACUUUAAUCUAGGUAAUUCUUGUUUUUUUUUCAAAAUUAUAUUAUCAAAAUAAGGUUAAACAAGAUUAAUUAAGCAUUUUUGGGUGGAAUAAAAAGUCUAUAGAACAUAAGAAGACUUGAAUUACUAAAAAGAUAUAUAUUUUUUCUAUUAGAUGGGGCUCACACAUGUUCUACAAUCUCGUGAAGCAUAAAGAUGUAUAUUUUUUUUCCAUUAGAUGGGGCUCACACAUGUUCUACAGCCUCGUGAAGCAUGGACGUGACCAAAUGGUGAAGCAGCUAAAAUAAGGGCUUUAGGCUCCAAAAUUAUAGGGGUUUGAAUAAAAACUUUUUUUCUUAUACAAUGUCUUGGGUGUGUGCUGGAGUCCUCAUUAAUUUGAUUUAUGUCACAUAAGUACCUUUAAAGGGAAGUUCUAUCUAGCAGUCUUUAUUUUCAUUUUAGGAUUCGAACAUGGAACAUCCGAUCAAGAGAGGAUGCGAUUCAGUGUUUACUUGUAAAAUAUUUCAUGGAAAAAUGAUUUUAGGCCAUCGAUAUUAUUGAGCCGCCCUAAAUCUAUUGGGAGAAAAUUAUUGUACGAGAGAGAAGAGUGAGAAUUUGUUAGUCAUUGAAAGCAAUUUGAAUAUAAUGAAAACAAAAAAUAAACAAAGUGAUGGACACAUAAACCAGGACAAAUAUUUGGUCCUUUCUGUAGAAAUUAACUGCCUCACAUCCUGGCAGCUUCGAAUGAGAAUUAUUAAUUUUUAAAACGUUUUUAAGGGUUGAAGUUGAAUUUACGAAUAAAUAGUUACAUGUUUAAAUAAGUAUUAAAUAGAGAAUAAAUAAUUUGAUAUGCUUAAUAAAUAUAUGUGCACCUAAAGUAGUUCCUGACGAAUGUACUUCAUAUAAUAUUUUACAUAUAAAGUAUAAUUUUUCGAUAAAAGUUUUCAAUAGGUCACCGCCAGGGGAGGAGCCAGCAUGUCUUUAGGGGUUCAUCCGAAUCCCUUUUGGUGGAAAAUAUUACUAUAUAUACAUGGUUAAAAUUAUUUUUUAGAUGUAUAUAAUAGAUGUCGAACCCCCCUUCGACUAGUUCAUAUGUUUACUCCUUCGGAUUUUGAACCCCUUAUUAAAAAUCAUGGCUCUGCCACUAGUCACCGCUGCGUGGAAUUCCUGUUCCAUCACGUAAUUGGAGAGUUUUUUCUUGACUUCUAUUUUUAUUAUUAUGGAAUUAUCUACAGUUUAAUUCACUGAUUUUGAUUUGGAGAAUGACAAUAUGCUAAUUUUAUGUAUUAAACCUUAGUGUGAAGAUAAAAUAUUAUAUUUAUUUGACAACGUUACGUUUGUAUUAAAGUAAACUAGUAUAUAUAUAUAUUCGCGGAUAAUAUUAAAAAUAUUAUUUUUAAGUGUAUUAGAAUGUGUGACUUGCAAGUUUGAGUCAGUCAAAAUUACAGUUAUUUUUUGUGUGAUUAAUUAACUUAGUUAGAAAAUCAAAUAUAAUUAUUUCACUCGUACUUCAACUUAUAAUAACUAAACGAAGUCAAUCGGAACUCAUCAUAGCUUUCUGAGGGAUCGACUCAAGACUCAUAAUCAAGAUUAUAUUGAUUAUGCUCACUUAGUUUUUGAAUAUGUAAAUUUCAUAAUUUAAAAAAGGAAAUAAAGAAUCUAUGUCGUGUUAGUGUUUUGCCCUGAUUUUAAAAAAUAAAGGUCCUUUAAAUUUUUCAAAAGUGAACACUUUUGGUUUUGAGAAGAUAUUUAUCAAACUUUGAUUGUUAAAUUUAAUCGAAUUUGUAUAAAAUGUUAAAUUUAAACACUGUGGAAUUUUAUUUCACAUGUGAAGAAAAUUCAAAGGAGAUUAAUGUUACAUUGCAUGUCGUGUUAUUCAGGAAAUACUCUAUGCUUUAAAGAAUAGUCAUACUUUAAUCUAGGACAUUUCUUCACCCCAUAUUAUUCAGAUAAGAUUAAACAAGACUUAGUAAGUGUUUUUGGGUGGAAUAUUCACAAUAGGUAAAAUAUGCGCUCUCAAUAAUUACAUGCAAGUCUACGGAGCAUAGAAAGACAAGAUGCUUAUAUCGUAUAUUUGCUAAAUGAAUCUAAUUCUAAUACAACUUUAUAUCUCAAUUAAAUUGGACUCGCACAUGUUCUACAGUCUCGUGAAUCAUGUUGAAGCAACUAAAGCAAGGACUUUAGGCUCCAAAAUUUUAGGGUUCCGAUUUUUAUUUUUUAUUUUCUCAUACAAUGUCUAGAAUCUAUGUUGAAGUCACGAUUAAUUCAAUUUCGUGUCACAUAAGGUUCUUUAAAGGAAGAAGCUCUCUAGCAAUAUUUGUUUUCCUUUUGAGAUUUGGACUCAAUAUCUCUGAUCAAGAGAGGAAGCGAUUCAGUUUUAUUUAGCUAUAAAAUAUUUUAUGAAAAUUUGAUUUUAAACCAUCGAUCUUAUUGAGCCACCCUUGCGUGAAUGUAUUGGAAGAAAAUUAUUCUAUGAGAGAGAGAAGACUAAGUAUUUAUUAGUCAUUGAAAGCAAUUUGGAUAUAAUGAAAACAAAAAAAUAAAGAAAGUGAUGGACACUUAAACCAGAACAAAUUUUUGGUCCUUUGUGUGGAAAUUAACUGCUUCACAUCCUUGCAGCUUCGAAUGAGAUUUUUUUUAAAAAAAUUUGAAAGUGUUGAAGCUGAAUUUAUGAAUAAAUAGUUAUAUGUUUAGAUAAGUUUUAAAUGGAGCAUAAAUAGUUUGAUUUGCUUAAUUAUAUAUGCACACAUUAAGUAAUUUCUAUCGUAUAUAUUUUGUAUAUUUCUUUUAUAUAUAAAAUAUAAUUUUUUGGUGAAAAGUGUUCAACGAUAGUCGCUAUAGUGUGUGGAAUUCAUGUUCCAUCACAUAAUUGGAGAGUUUUUUCUUGACUUUCUUUUUAUUAUUACUAUUAUUUAUGGAUUUUUAUAUAGUUUAAUUCACUGAUUUUGAUUCGGAGAAUGACAAUAUACUAGAGUUUUAAUUUACCCUUUGUUUGGUUAUAAUAUAUUAUAUUUAUUUGACUGCGUUUGCAUUAUAGUAUAAAUUGUUUGGAAUUACUUGUUUGUUUUGGGAAAGACUUGCAAGUUUGAGUCGGUCAAAAUUACACUGUGAUUAAUCAACUUAAUUAGAAAAUCAAAUAUAAUUUUAUACUUCACUCGUAUUCCACUUAAACUAACUAAAUUAAGUUAAACGGAACUCACCAUAGCUUUUCUGUGGUAUUGAGUUGUAUAUAAAUACUAGUAACGAAAGCCCGGGCGCUGCCCGGGCCCUGUGGUAUUGAGUUGUAUAUAAAUAUACUCUGAUGGUAUCAAAGAUAACUGAACAGUGUCUUCAUUGAAAGACUGCUUCUUCCUCCUUGAUAUUAUCAAAGUAUAAUAUACUUUGGUGGUAUUAAUGAGUAACCGAAUAGUGUUUUCAUUAAGGUUUGUUUCAGUCCUUCGAUGAGAAUACUCAAUCAUCCAUGAUACCAUUACGGUAUAUCUACAUACUGUCGUGGUAUCAUUUAGGUAUGCUUGAAUUCUUCAAUAUUUUAAUUUUAAAAAAUAUAAAAAUAUAUUUCCUACUAAUUUAGAGUUUAAUAAAUAAGAUUGUGAAUUUAAUAAUUUCUCUUAAUUAUUUCUUAAAAAAAGAGUUAAAUCCUAUAUCUCAUACUGAUAUCAUACGCGAUAUAAAAAAGGAGAAAGUGGGGUAAGCAUGUAAAUAUUUUGAGGCAUGGGUCCAUUUAGGGUAAAUAGUUUGGAUAAAGUCCAAUUUAGAUAAAUAGUUUCAUAAUUGGGUCUAUCUUACAUAGUUUUUUCUAUUAAUUACGCUACUUAAUUUUUAAAUAUAUAAAUUUCAUAAUUUUAAAUAAGUAAAGAACCUAUGCCCAACUUCACACUCGUACUUGGAAUUUUUCAAUAUUAAUUUGCUCAUACAAUUAUUCUACUAAUUUAUAUAGAACCAAUCCUUUUCUGAGAUUAAGUAGCACAAAUAUCGUAUUUUAAUCUUAGUUAAUGAAAGACAAAUUUUAAAAAGGUCAAAUAGGAAUAACAACUUUAUGUAUUCAUGUUUAGUGGAAACGAGAAGAUGCAAUACUUAGUUAUCAACGUAAGCCACUAUACCAUGAACAUAUGGUACGUGGAAUUAUUCAUACUAGCAACAUCAAAGGGUAAUAAUAAUAAUAAUUAUAGAGGUACAUUUAAUCCCUUACACAUCAUAAGUAAACACAUUUUAGUAAGGACGUUGUCCGACCCAGUUUCCAACAGGAUCAUAGUUGCAUGAAAUGAACCACCAUCCGUUGUUGCAACGAGCCCGACCACAACCUAGUCGAACUGAGUUGCGCCAGACUACUUGAGUAUAGUGUCCGCACACUUGUCCGCUUGCACAUUGGUUGGUACCAUAGUUGUAGUUUGGCUUCUCCCCCACCCACAAUUGCACAGCUGCCCUCCCCGUGAAAUCACCAGUUCCCUUGGCAAGGUUCUCCCCUGCACCGGAAUGAAUCAAGUUACAAUCACCAGUUCUUGAAUUGGCAUAAUUUUGUGCUCGGGAUGCCAAACCGGCAUCCCAAGACAUUGGCCCGACCCCGACUUGGGCACGGGCAUCGUUGUGAACCGCAAGAUAGUCUUGGGGUGAAUUUUGGGCAUCACAAGAGUGAAAUAUGGCUAAUACCAUGAGACAAGUGAGUAACAAUGAGAUGUUAAACAACCCCAUUUUGCUUUAGGUCUAGUGGAAAGAAAAUAAAUCUAAGUUAUUGUGAUUAUAAAUGUGAGAUAAGUAGUGUAUUUAUAAGUAAAAUUAAUUGUGGAAUUUUGUUUAGCAUGUGUGAAGAAAAUUCAAAGGAAAUUAGUAGAGGAAAUGAUAAAAAUGGUCUCUUAUCUUUGAUAGUAAGUUCAAAAUAGUCUCGUGUGUAUUUAGUUGAGCCAUUUUGGUCCUUCAAUUGUUUAGAAGUAAUUACUUUCGGUCCUUUAAGUUUUUCAAAAAUGAGCAUUUUUUUUAUCUUGAUUAGAUUUUUAUCAAACUUUGAUUGUUAAAUUUAAACAUUGUGGAAUUUUAUUUUUCAUAUUAAGAAAAUUCAAAUGUGAUUAGUACCUUGCAUGUCGUGUGAUUCAUGGAAUACUAUAUUCUUUAAAGAAUAGUCAUACUUUAAUCUAGGUAAUUCUUGUUUUUUUUUUUCAAAAUUAUAUUAUCAAAAUAAGGUUAAACAAGACUAAUUAAGCAUUUUUGGGUGGAAUAAAAAGUCUAUAGAACAUAAGAAGACUUGAAUUAUUAAAAUGAUGUAUAUUUUUUCUAUUAGAUGGGGCUCACACAUUUUUUCUAAGUACCUUUAAAGGGAAGUUCUAUCUAGCAGUAUUUAUUUUCAUUUUAGGAUUCGAACAUGGAACAUCCGAUCAAGAGAGGAUUCUAUUCAGUGUUUACUUAUAAAAUAUUUCAUGGAAAAAUGAUUUUAGGCCAUCGAUAUUAUUGAGCCGCCCUAAAUCUAUUGGGAGAAAAUUAUUGUACGAGAGAGAAGAGUGAGAAUUUGUUAGUCAUUGAAAGCAAUUUGAAUAUAAUGAAAACAAAAAAUAAACAAAGUGAUGGACACAUAAACCAGGACAAAUAUUUGGUCCUUUCUGUAGAAAUUAACUGCCUCACAUCCUGGCAGCUUCGAAUGAGAAUUAUUAAUUUUUAAAACGUUUUUAAGGGUUGAAGUUGAAUUUACGAAUAAAUAGUUACAUGUUUAAAUAAGUAUUAUAAAGAGAAUAAAUAAUUUGAUGUGCUUAAUAAAUAUAUGGCACACUUAAAAUAGUUUCUAAGGUACAUAUUUCGCAUAAAUUUUUAUAUAUAAUUUUUUUUUGAUGAAAAAUGUUUAACUGACCACCUAUCAUAGGUCGUCACUAUGUUAAAUUCCUGUUCCAUCACGUAAGUGUAGAGUUUUUUUCUUGAUUUAUUAUUAUUAUUAUUAUUAUUAUUAUCAUUAUUAUGGAUUUUUCUAUAGACUGCGUUUAUAUUAAAGUAAAUUGUUUGGAAUUACUUGUUUGUUUUGGGAAAGACUUGCAAGUUUGAGUCGGUCAAAAUUACACCGUGAUUAAUCAACCUAAUUUGAAAACCAAAUAUAAUUAUCAGGGAGCGGAUCUACCUCAGAGCAAAGGGGGUCGAGCGGCACCCCUCAUCGAAAGAUUACAUUAUAUAUAUAUAUAUAUAUAUAUAAAAAAAACUUAUAGGAGGUUGUGUGUUCCAUUCUUGAUAGCAAUUCUGGCUCUGCCACUGAACUCAUAACCAAGAUUAUAUUAAUUAGGGGAAAAAAUACUUAUAUCCCCAAAAAAGUAAAAUAUUUAUCUUUAAAUAUUUUAUUACUUUCAUACCCCCUUUUAUUUUAAAAUGACAUAUAUCUAGAUCUAUUCACGCGUUGACGUCAUGUUGAUGUCAACGUUCACCUUUUUUUUUCCUUUCUGAUACCAUCACAGUAUAAUACAAUCGUAUAUGAAUAUACUAUGAUGGUAUCAAAGAGUAACCGAGUAGUUUCUUCAUCGAAGGACUAUUUCUUCCUCUUUGAUAUCAUCAAAGUAUAAUAUACUCUGGUGGUAUCAAUGAGUAACUAAAUGGUGUUUUCAUUAAGGUUUGCUUCAGUCCCUCGAUGGGAAUACUCAAUCAUCCAUGAUACCAUUACGUUAUAUCUACAUGCUAUCAUGGUAUCAUUGAGGUAUGUUUCAAUUCUUCAAUAUUUUAAUUUUAAAAAAUAUAAAAAUAUAUUUUACUAACUAAUUUAGAGUUUAAUAAAUAAGAUUGUGACUUUAAUAAUUUUCUCUUAAUUAUUUCUUUAAAAAAAGUUAAAUCCUAUAUGAUACCGAUAAAGUAUCAACAUACAGACAUAGUGUCACGCCCCGAGUCUACACCCUGGGCGGGACUGGCNNNNNNNNNNNNNNNNNNNNNNNNNNNNNNNNNNNNNNNNNNNNNNNNNNNNNNNNNNNNNNNNNNNNNNNNNNNNNNNNNNNNNNNNNNNNNNNNNNNNCUUCUUAGCUAUUUCAAAUUGUCGGAUGUUACACAUAGUAUCACAAAAGAUUAAUUCAUAGUAGUGAUGCUAAUGUCAUAUUGAUAUCAUGUGCAAAAUAAGAAAGAAGAAAAUGGGGUAAGCGGGUAAAUAGUUUGGGGCAUAGCAUUAAUAAGGGUAAAUAGUGUGAUAAUUAAUUUGCUUAUACAAUUAUUCUACUAAUUUACACAGAACCAAUCCUUUUUAAUCUUAUUUAAAGAAAGACAAAAUUUUAGAAAGGUAAAAUAGGAAUAACUUUAUGUAGUCAUGUUUAAUGGAAACAAGUCGCACUAUACCAUGAACAUAUGGUACGUGGAGUACUUAUCAAAGGGAAAUAAUGAUUUUAUUUAAUAGCAGCAACAUGCCAUAAGUUAACACACUUUAGUAAGGACGUUGUCCGAUCCAAUUGCCUACAGGAUCGUAGUUGCAAGAAAUGAACCACCAACCAUUGUUGCAACGAGCCCGACCACAACCUAGUCGAACUGAGUUGCGCCAAACUACUUGAGUAUAGUGUCCGCACACUUUUCCACUAGCACAUUGGUUGGUAGCAUAGUUGUAGUUUGGCUUUUCUGACACCCACAAUUGCACGGCACGCCUCCCUGUGUAGUCUCCUCCGCCCUUGGCAAGGUUCUCCCCAGCACCAGAAUGAAUCAAAUUGCAAUCACCAAUUCUUGAGUUGGCAUAGUUUUGUGCUCGGGUUGCCAAGCUGGCAUCCCAUGACAUUGGCCCAACCCCGACUUGGGCACGGGCAUCGUUGUGAACCGCAAGAUAGUCUUGGGGGUGAAUUUUGGGCAUCACAAGAGUGAAAUAUGGCUAAUACAUGCAUGAAACAAAUGAGUAAUAAUUAGAUGUUAAACAACCCCAUUUUGUUUUAGGUCUAGUGGAGAGAGAACAAAUGUGAUUAUGGAUAUGAGAUAAUUAAAUGGUGUAUAUACAAGUAAACAUUGUGGAAUUUUGUUUAGAUGUAAAGAAAAUUCAAAGGAAAUUAUUUGAGGAAUGACAAAAAUGGUCUCUUAUCUUUGGUAGUAGAUUCAAAAUAAUCUCUAGUAUUGUAUUUAGUUGAACGAGUUUGGUCCUUAAGUUUGUUAAAAGUGAGCACUUUUGGACUCGAUCAUAUAUUUAUCAAACUCUAAACGUUAAAAUUUAAUCGAAAUUGUGAAAAUUAUUAAAUUUCAAAAAUGUAAAAUUUUGUUUGCAUGUGAAGAAAAUUCAAAGGAGAUUGGUACAUUGCAUGUGGUAUGAAACAAGGAAUACUACAUUCUUUAAAGAAUAGUCAUGAUAUAUUCUUUAAUCUUGGACGUUCAUUUUCUUGAAAAUCAUAUUAUCAAGAUAAGGUUGAAACUUAAACAAGACUUAAUAUGAUGUCGGGAACAAGUUAUUUUGAAAUAAUUAAUUUCAGAAUAAAUUGUUCCAUCAAUAACUUAUUCCAUCAUUAUGACAAAAUGGUGGGACUAAUUCAAGAACUAUCUAAUACCUUCAACCAAACGUGGAAUAGAAUAAUCCUAUAUUAAUUCUGGAAUUAUUAUAUCUUAUACCUUAUACCUCACACCAAACGACUCCAAGUGUUUUACAAUAGGUAUAAUAUUCACUCUCAAUAGUUACAUACAAGUCUUUUGAAAAAUAGAAAGAUGGAAAUACCCAUAACAUGUAUAAUAUGUCGAAUGAUCCAAAUCCUAAUUAAAUUUCAUUUUUUUCAAUAAAUGGGGUCGCACGUAUUCUACAUAUCCUCGUGAAUCAUGGCUUACUAUGUCUUUAGUCUCCAACAUUUUAGGGGUCCAAAAAGAAAUUGUUCUUUCACACUAUGUCUGAAAUCUAUGUUGAUUGAUUUAAUCUCAUGCCACAUAAGGUUUUUAAGGGGUCGUUAAUUGGUUUGAAAAUAAGUUAUGAUGGGAUAAGUUAUGCUGAAAUUAGUAAUGAUGGGAUAAGUUAUGUUGAAAUUAGUUAUGAUAAGAUAAGUUAUGCUGAGAAUAUUUCUUGUAAAGCUCUCUCUAGCAAUAUUUAAUUUUUCAUGGACUCAAAUUCAAGACCACAUAGGUCAAGAGAUCGAGGAUGAAAUCCAGUUUUCACCUUUAAAAUACUUUAUGAAAAUUUAAUUUUUGGCCAUCAAUAUAAUUGAGCCGCCCUAGCGUGAAUCUUUAAGGAUAAAAUUAUUCUAUGAGAGAAAGAAAACUAAGUAUUUGUUAAUCAAUGAAGCAAUUUGGAUAGAAUGAAAACAAAACACAAACCGCCUCCUCAUUAGCAGCUUCAAAUUACAAUUAACUUUUAAAGCGUUUUUGAAGUGUUGAAGUUGAAUUUAUCAAUAAAUAGUUACGUGUUUAAAUAAGUGUUAAAUGAACAAUAAAUAGUUUGAUAUGCUCAGUUAAAAUAAACGCAUGUAAAGUACGUAAUUUCUUAUGUAUGUACUUCAUAUAAUUUUUUAUAUAUUAAAUAUAAUUUUUCGAUGAAAGGGCUACGCGACUGCAUGGAAUUCUUGUUCUAUCACAUCUAAGUUUUUUACAAAAUUAUCAGUCCUCUUCGAGUGAAGUAACACAAAUAUUGUAUUUUAAUCUUAUUUAAGGAAAGAGAAAAUUUUAGAAAGGUAAAAUAGGAAAAACUUUAUGUAUUCAUGUUAUAUCAUUUAUCAAAGAGAAAUAAUAAUAAUUAUAGACGUUCAUUUAAUUCCUUAAUAUCUUAGAUAGAAGAUUGACUCGAUCCACAUGUCAGACUUAAAAUUUAGCUCCUUGAUAUCUAAUAUGGAAAUUUUAUUUAAUAUUAGCAAUAUAUUAUAAGCAAACAUCCUUUAGUAAGGACGUUGUCCGACCAAGUUGCCUACAGGAUCAUAUUUGCAAGAAAUGAACCACCAUCCGUUGUUGCAACAAUCCCGGCCACAAUCUAGUCGGACUGAGUUGCGCUAGACUACUUGAGUAUAAUGUCCACACAUUUUUCCACUAACACAUUGGUUGGUAGCGUAGUUAUAGCUUGGCAAGGUUCUCCCCAGCACCAGAAUGAAUCAAAUGGCAAUCACGAGUUCUUGAGUUGGCAUAGUGUUGUGCUCGGGAUGCCAAGCCUACAUCCCAAGACAUUGGCCCGACCCCGACUUGCGCACGGGCGUUGUUGUGAACCACAAGAUAGUCUUGGGGUGAAUUUUGGGCAUCACAAGAGUGAAAUAUGGCUAAUACCAUGAGACAAAUGAGUAACAUUGGGAUGUUGAACAACCCCAUUUUGCUUUAGGUCUAGUGGAGAGAAAAGAAG
rnacentral:lncRNA from 1 species